GGGCUUAUAGCUCAGCUGGAAGAGCGCGGCCUUUGCAAGGCCGAGGCCGGGGGUUCAAAUCCCCCUGAGUCCA
rfam:Methanoplanus petrolearius DSM 11571, complete genome.